UACGAAGGGUGCAAGCGUUACUCGGAAUUACUGGGCGUAAAGCGUGCGUAGGUGGUUCGUUAAGUCUGAUGUGAAAGCCCUGGGCUCAACCUGGGAAUGGCAUUGGAAACUGGCGACCUAGAGUGCGGUAGAGGGUAGUGGAAUUCCCGGUGUAGCAGUGAAAUGCGUAGAGAUCGGGAGGAACAUCCGUGGCGAAGGCGACUACCUGGACCAGCACUGACACUGAGGCACGAAAGCGUGGGGAGCAAACAGA
rnacentral:rRNA from 1 species